GAGGCAGCAGUGGGGAAUCUUGCGCAAUGGGCGAAAGCCUGACGCAGCGACGCCGCGUGAGGGAAGAAGGCCUUCGGGUUGUAAACCUCUUUCAGGAGGGACGAAGCCACUCGGGUGAACAGCCCAGAGGGUGACGGUACCUCCAGAAGAAGCCCCGGCUAACUACGUGCCAGCAGCCGCGGUAAUACGUAGGGGGCGAGCGUUGUCCGGAUUUACUGGGCGUAAAGAGCGUGUAGGCGGCCACGCAGGUCCGUUGUGAAAACUGGAGGCUCAACCUUCAGACGUCGACGGAAACCGUGUGGCUAGAGUCCGGAAGAGGAGAGUGGAAUUCCUGGUGUAGCGGUGAAAUGCGCAGAUAUCAGGAAGAACACCAAUGGCGAAGGCAGCUCUCUGGGACGGUACUGACGCUGAGACGCGAAAGCGUGGGGAGCGAACAGGAUUAGAUACCCUGGUAGUCCACGCCGUAAACGAUGGGUGCUAGGUGUGGGAGGUGUCGACUCCUCCCGUGCCGCAGCUAACGCAUUAAGCACCCCGCCUGGGGAGUACGGCCGCAAGGCUGAAACUCAAAGGAAUUGACGGGGGCCCGCACAAGCAGCGGAGCAUGUGGUUUAAUUCGAUGCAACGCAGAAGAACCUUACCAGGGCUUGACAUGCACCGGAAAGCCGUAGAAAUACGGCCCUCCUUCGGGACCGGUGCACAGGUGGUGCAUGGCUGUCGUCAGCUCGUGUCAUGAGAUGUUGGGUUAAGUCCCGCAACGAGCGCAACCCCUGUCCCAUGUUGCCAGCGAGUCAUGUCGGGGACUCAUGGGAGACUGCCGGUCACAAAUCGGAGGAAGGUGGGGAUGAUGUCAAGUCAUCAUGCCCCUUAUGGGUAGGGCUACACACGUCAUACAAUGGCGCGUACAGAGGGUUGCCAACCCCCGAGGGGGAGCCAAUCCCAGAAAGCGCGUCGUAGUCCGGAUUGGAGUUUGCAACUCGACUCCAUGAAGUAGGAAUCGCUGGUAAUCGCGGAUCAGCAUGCCCCAGUGAAUACGUUCCCGGGCCUUGUACACACCGCC
rnacentral:rRNA from 1 species